rnacentral:lncRNA from 1 species
GAGCCACAAGAAUGAGCAACGUGAUUGACAGAAGGUUUUAAAAGAAUUGUGACAUUUUUGGCUAAAGCAAUCAUAGGAUCGCAGUGCAGUAGAAAUGGCUUUGGGAGAAAGUUGAAACCAUGCUGAACCCUCUCAUUUAUCUGCAAAAACAUAUUACUCACGUGGCAACAAUACUGACACUGUAUUGAACUGUUAUAUAGUAUCGUCCGCAAUUCAUUUUGGAUAAGAAAAGUAAAAUGUGAUUCAUCUAGUGUGCUCUGUUCCCCAAACAUAUAGUGUGCUAUCCAGUUGGUUUUUACAAUGCAAUAUAUAGGAGAUCGAAUCCCAGUGAGAUAGUUUCAUGAAUUUAUCACUUAUGGCUACAGAUAUGGUAUACUGUGGCAAUUAUCAGUUUGCAAGAAUAAGAUCUCUCUGCUUCAGAGUACCACGGUCACGACAAUGCAUCAACUAUAUGAUGACAUUACACACUUUUAUAGGCACAAUUAAAAAGACUGAAUGAGUUUGCUGAGUGUGUUCUCUGUAUGGGGUAAUGCUUAACUGUAAUAAUUAUAUAUUGAAUGAUGCAUGCGAGUUAUGUCGCGUGACCUGAUUAGUCAGAAAUAGUGUUUCCACUCUUUGGAAUGAGAUUGCUAUCAGUUGCAAUAAAACAAGCAAGACUCUACUUGAUGUGAACUGUGUGCUGCUAACAUGGUUGAGCCUUUGAACUUGUAUAUAAGACAUUUGAGAGACUAAUUCUAAGGAGCUGAAAUGGAGGUAGAGCGAACAGUUUCAGAACCUGACUGCAAUGACAGGAAUGGAGGAUGAAACACAGCGCUGUUGAGAGGAGCCUUUGUUGCAAGGAUCAGACGUGGCAGAUUCUGCAAGCCUGGCAGCCCUGGCGGCAUAGCUCUGCUGGUUUAAUUACCAGUGCUGCUCACAGGGUGGAGGAAACCUUCAUAGUAGUGGGAGAACCACAGGUCAAUCUCCUGGCUGGUCCCAAACCGGCCCAGCUCAAAUGCUUUGUCAGGUGGGUGCUAGCUGACAUCCCUUGCUACUGCUCUCCCUCUUCAGUUCAUGGAGUGCUCUGGUGGGGAAAGCAAAUCUGUUUUCUAAUGAGCAGUGACUUGCAGAGCCUUUUUAUAAUGCCAAUGACAGGGCUUUUGGCACUGUCUUCUGAUGCACCUUUUGUACACAAAAUAUCCAAUAUACAUAUGUGAUCUGGCUUUGCUUUCGCACGGAUAUGUGCAAGAGCAAGCAUGGCCAGCUCAUGUGACUCAUCAGAUGUUCUUAGCGCUCAUACAAAGAAAUUCUCUUGAGGAAGAUGGCUUUGGGUCACAUGCUCAGGUCCCAUCUUCGUAUCUCAGUUUGCCCGAGUUCAGGAGGAAAACUAUAAACCUGUGUUGGCAGAGCCUGGACCAGCUUGGUGCCAUGGCUUCGCUGUCAGCUGGGGUUGGUUGAAUUCAUGGGAUUUUAAAGAAUUUGGGUAAGUUUGCUUUUCUGUACAGAUAAUGUAUGCACUUGGUGCUUUACCUGAGGACAGCAGAAAUGAUCUGUAUAUCACUCAGAAACAACUUGUUAUGAGCAAACUUGCUUGAUUGCCGCUGUGCAUUUGAGGCUGUUGUUGUUUUAAAUUACUUUUAUUCCAGCAGCACCUCAAAGACCCUACCACAAAGAGGACAUGAUUUCCCAGCAAUAUAAAACACAAAACAGCACCUUCCCCAAACAGGUGAUGGUCUCAGUAUGUCUUGAAGGCUAAGAGAAGAUACAAGGGAGCAAAAGCACAAUGCAACAGAGCACUUGCUCACGGCGUCCAUUAGUUGAUAGGCAGGCAGGGGCAGGAUGCCAGAUUUUCUGAUGCAGUGCCACGUUCCCACUUUUCCAGUCUCCCCAGUUAUUACAUCUGCCUUUGUCUUUUCACUGUGAGGGCAGUCUAGAGAAAUCUACUGUUAUCUGAUUCAUCUUAUAUUUCUUGAUGCAGCCACUGCCCUUGCUAACACAGCGCCUGCCCUCCUGCUCUGCAGGCUUUGGAGCUGUGCUCCCGGAGUCACCCUUGAACGCGAGUGACAAGUGAGGCAUUUGUCCUAGCAGAUGGGGUACACGGAAGGCAGACCUUGGCUACAUGCAAGCUGUCCUUGUUGAAACACAUAUCAGACUGACCCUGCUCGCUGCAGGACAUCACCUGACCAAGGCCAGUCCAGAACUACUGGGAAAGAGAAGGAGCAAGUCAGAGCCAGGUCUGAACUUGUAAAACUCUAUGGCCUCUCCAGAUUGCAAGCUUGAGUGAAUGCAAUUAAAAAGAUGAUGACUAGA